rfam:Maricaulis maris MCS10, complete genome.
GCACCCAUAGCUCAGCUGGAUAGAGCGCUGCCCUCCGAAGGCAGAGGUCAGAGGUUCGAAUCCUCUUGGGUGCG